AGUGAACGCUGGCGGUAGGCCUAACACAUGCAAGUCGAACGGCAGCACAGUAAGAGCUUGCUCUUACGGGUGGCGAGUGGCGGACGGGUGAGGAAUACAUCGGAAUCUACUUUUUCGUGGGGGAUAACGUAGGGAAACUUACGAUAAUACCGCAUACGACCUACGGGUGAAAGCAGGGGAUCUUCGGACCUUGCGCGAUUGAAUGAGCCGGUGUCGGAUUAGCUAGUUGGCGGGGUAAAGGCCCACCAAGGCGACGAUCCGUAGCUGGUCUGAGAGGAUGAUCAGCCACACUGGAACUGAGACACGGUCCAGACUCCUACGGGAGGCAGCAGUAGGGAAUAUUGGACAAUGGGCGCAAGCCUGAUCCAGCCAUACCGCGUGGGUGAAGAAGGCCUUCGGGUUGUAAAGCCCUUUUGUUGGGAAAGAAAAGCUGCAGAUUAAUACCCCGCUGUUCUGACGGUACCCAAAGAAUAAGCACCGGCUAACUUCGUG
rnacentral:rRNA from 1 species